UACGUAGGGUGCGAGCGUUGUCCGGAAUUAUUGGGCGUAAAGGGCUCGUAGGCGGUCUGUUGCGUCAGGAGUGAAAACUCGGGGCUUAACCCCGAGCCUGCUUCUGAUACGGGCAGACUAGAGGUAUGCAGGGGAGAACGGAAUUCCUGGUGUAGCGGUGAAAUGCGCAGAUAUCAGGAGGAACACCGGUGGCGAAGGCGGUUCUCUGGGCAUUACCUGACGUUGAGGAGCGAAAGCAUGGGGAGCGAACAGG
rnacentral:rRNA from 1 species